rnacentral:piRNA from 1 species
UGGUUGUUGGAUAACAUGGCAGCACAC